UGGGGAAUUUUGGACAAUGGGCGAAAGCCUGAUCCAGCAAUGCCGCGUGUGUGAAGAAGGCCUUCGGGUUGUAAAGCACUUUUGUCCGGAAAGAAAUCCUUGGCUCUAAUACAGUCGGGGGAUGACGGUACCGGAAGAAUAAGCACCGGCUAACUACGUGCCAGCAGCCGCGGUAAUACGUAGGGUGCAAGCGUUAAUCGGAAUUACUGGGCGUAAAGCGUGCGCAGGCGGUUUGCUAAGACCGAUGUGAAAUCCCCGGGCUCAACCUGGGAACUGCAUUGGUGACUGGCAGGCUAGAGUAUGGCAGAGGGGGGUAGAAUUCCACGUGUAGCAGUGAAAUGCGUAGAGAUGUGGAGGAAUACCGAUGGCGAAGGCAGCCCCCUGGGCCAAAUACUGACGCUCAUGCACGAAAGCGUGGGGAGCAAACAGGAUUAGAUACCCUGGUAGUCCACGCCCUAAACGAUGUCAACUAGUUGUUGGGGAUUCAUUUCCUUAGUAACGUAGCUAACGCGUGAAGUUGACCGCCUGGGGAGUACGGCCGCAAGAUUAAAACUCAAAUGAAUUGACGGGGUCAUAGCUGUUUCCU
rnacentral:rRNA from 1 species